UCGAGAAUCUUCCGCAAUGGACGAAAGUCUGACGGAGCGACGCCGCGUGCGGGAUGAAGGCCUUCGGGUUGUAAACCGCUGUCAGUUGGGAGGAAAUCGUAGAGGGCUAUCCCUCUGCGUUGACCGAUCUUCAGAGGAAGCGCAGGCUAAGUUCGUGCCAGCAGCCGCGGUAACACGAACUGCGCAAACGUUAUUCGGAAUCACUGGGCUUAAAGAGUUCGUAGGCGGCUAUGCAGGUGAGGUGUGAAAUCCCUCGGCUCAACCGAGGAACUGCGCUUCAAACCGCAUGGCUUGAGGGAGACAGAGGUGAGCGGAACUGAUGGUGGAGCGGUGAAAUGCGUUGAUAUCAUCAGGAACACCAGUGGCGAAGGCGGCUCACUGGGUCUCUUCUGACGCUGAGGAACGAAAGCUAGGGGAGCGAACGGGAUUAGAUACCCCCGUAGUCC
rnacentral:rRNA from 1 species